rnacentral:rRNA from 1 species
GGGAGGCGCAGCGCACAGCUCAGUAACACCCGGCUAACCUUUCCUUGGGACGAGACAACCCCGGGAAACUGGGGAUAAUCCUCGAUAGGUGAAGAACUCUGGAGUGAGUCUUUGCUUAAAUGGCGUUGGAUCAUGCUUUCAGCGUCGCCCAAGGAUGGGGCCGCGACCGAUCAGGUUGUUGGUGAGGUAAUGGCCCACCAAGCCUUUUACCGGUGCGGGCCGUGAGAGCGGGAGCCCGGAGAUGGGCACUGAGACAAGGGCCCAGGUCCUACGGGGCGCAGCAGUCGCGAAAACUUUGCAAUACACGAAAGUGUGACAGGGUCAUCCCGAGUGCCGACCGCUGAGGUUGGCUUUUACCCAGUCUAGAAAGCUGGGGGAAUAAUGAGAGGGCAAGUCUGGUGUCAGCCGCCGCGGUAAUACCAGCUCUCCGAGUGGUGUGGACGUUUAUUGGGCCUAAAGCAUCCGUAGCUGGCUGAACAAGUCCCCUGUUAAACCCACCGAUUUAAUCGUUGGUCUGCGGGGGAUACUGCUCGGCUAGGGGACGAGAGAGGCAGACGGUAUUCCCGGGGUAGGGGUGAAAUCCUAUAAUCCCGAGAAGACCACCAGUGGCGAAGGCUGUCUGCUAGAACGCGCCCGACGGUGAGGGAUGAAAGCUGGGGGAGCGAACCGGAUUAGAUACCCGGGUAGUCCCAGCUGUAAACGAUGCAG